UACGGAGGGUGCAAGCGUUGUCCGGAUUUAUUGGGUUUAAAGGGUGCGUAGGCGGCCUUUUAAGUUAGUGGUGAAAGCCCGGGGCUCAACCCCGGAACCGCCAUUGAUACUGGAAGGCUUGAGUACAGACGAGGUAGGCGGAAUUGAGGGUGUAGCGGUGAAAUGCUUAGAUACCCUCAAGAACACCGAUUGCGUAGGCAGCUUACUAGGCUGUAACUGACGCUGAGGCACGAAAGCGUGGGGAGCGAACAGG
rnacentral:rRNA from 1 species